GAAAGCCGUGUGCAAUGAAAAGUGCAAGCACGGUUUGGGGAGCACUAAAAAUAAGAGAAAUAUGCUCUAAC
rnacentral:ncRNA from 1 species